rnacentral:rRNA from 1 species
AGUUGGAUCCUGGCUCAGGAUGAACGCUAGCGGCAGGCUUAACACAUGCAAGUCGAGGGGCAGCAUAGGUGUAGCAAUACAUCAGAUGGCGACCGGCGGAUGGGUGCGUAACGCGUAUGGAACUUGCCCUGAACAGGGGGAUAAUCUGGAGAAAUCCGGUCUAAUACCCCAUAAUAUCAUGAGCGGCAUCGUUUGUGGUUGAAAUCCUUGGAGGUUCAGGAUAGUCAUGCGUAGCAUUAGCUUGUUGGUGAGGUAACGGCUCACCAAGGCGACGAUGCUUAGGGGGACUGAGAGGUUAACCCCCCACACUGGGACUGAGACACGGCCCAGACUCCUACGGGAGGCAGCAGUGAGGAAUAUUGGUCAAUGGACGGAAGUCUGAACCAGCCAUGCCGCGUGCAGGAUGACGGCUCUAUGAGUUGUAAACUGCUUUUGUACGAGGGUAAAGUGAGGCACGUGUGCCUUUUUGAAAGUAUCGUACGAAUAAGGAUCGGCUAACUCCGUGCCAGCAGCCGCGGUAAUACGGAGGAUCCGAGCGUUAUCCGGAUUUAUUGGGUUUAAAGGGUGCGCAGACGGCGCGGUAAGUUAGAGGUGAAAGCACGGUGCUCAACAUCGUAAUUGCCUCUGAUACUGUCGUGCUGGAGAUUGGUUGCGGAAGGCGGAAUGUGUGGUGUAGCGGUGAAAUGCUUAGAUAUCACACAGAACCCCGAUUGCGAAGGCAGCUUUCCAAGCCACAUCUGACGUUCAUGCACGAAAGCGUGGGUAGCGAACAGGAUUAGAUACCCUGGUAGUCCACGCAGUAAACGAUGAUUACUCGUUGUCGGCGAUAUAAUGUCGGUGACUAAGCGAAAGCGA